AUGAAUGCUGGCGGCGUGUCUAAGGCAUGCAAGUCGAACGGGUACGGGGAGUAAUCUCCGUGCUAGUGGCAAACGGGUGCGUAACACAUUGGUAACCUGCCUCGAAGACGCGGAUAACUCGCCGAAAGGCGUGCUAAUACGCGAUACGGAUGCGAGGGCGCGAGCCAUUCGCAUUGAAACGCCCAAAAGGCGCUUCGAGAGGGGCCUAUGGUCUAUCAGCUAGUUGGUGGGGUAACGGCUCACCAAGGCUCUGACGGAUAGCAGGCGUGAGAGCGCGACCUGCCUCAGUGGAACUGAGACACUGUCCACACUCCUACGGGAGGCUGCAGUCAAGAAUAUUCCUCAAUGGACGAAAGUCUGAAGGAGCGACGCCGCGUGCAGGAUGAAGCCCCUUGGGGUGUAAACUGCUUUUCCCAGGGACGAAUCUCGAUGACGGUACCUGGGGAAUAAGAGGUUGCUAACUCUGU
rnacentral:rRNA from 1 species